CGUGAGCACACAUAAGUAAAUCGAUGAAAUGUGUUUGUGAAUAAAAUAAUAGUAAUACGCAGGUGUAUAAACCCGUCAAAGAAAUAAGUACUUGAUAUAUACCAUUUGUUGAUGCUGUCAUUAACUGUAUAUUAAAAGUAAAUCUUCAUUAUUUGAAUGAAGUAAACAAAUAAAUAGUGAAAAUAAGUGAGGUUACUGUACUGUUGCAAAAUUUGAAACUUGCGCUACAUUUUCAACAAAUACUACCAUUGCGUGUUGGAUCGGUCGGUCGUUGUCAUUUGAAAACGGAAGCCAUCUUGUGGCUAAGUCUCCCAUAUCAUAUCGAGGAAAUAUUAGUUAACCGACUAUUUAUCACGAAAAAUUUAUUUGUAUCUUCAUUGUUACGUUCGGACUAUGCAUGAAUUAUCGCACCAUAUGUUUACAUAGCCAUGGCUGCUACGAGAAAGUUGCAAGGUGAAAUAGACAGGUGCCUUAAGAAAGUUACUGAAGGUGUGGAUACAUUUGAAGAUAUUUGGCAAAAAGUUCACAAUGCGACUAAUAGCAAUCAGAAAGAGAAAUAUGAGGCUGAUCUCAAGAAAGAAAUCAAGAAGCUCCAGAGGUUACGUGACCAGAUUAAAAGCUGGAUCGCUUCUGGAGAAAUUAAAGAUAAGAGUACGUUACUGGAUUAUAGAAAGUUAAUUGAAACGCAAAUGGAACGAUUUAAAGUCGUUGAACGGGAAACAAAGACAAAGGCAUAUUCGAAAGAAGGCUUAGGCGCAGCUCAGAAAUUAGAUCCAGCUCAAAAAGAAAGGGAGGAAGUAAGCAAUUGGCUUGCAAAUUCCAUAGAUGCAUUAAAUUUACAAUUGGAUACAUUUGAAUCAGAAAUAGAAUCUUUACUUGCUGGUAAAAAGAAGAGACUGGAUAAAGAUAAGCAGGAUAGAAUGGACGAGUUAAAAUCAAAGCUGGAUAAACAUCGAUAUCAUAUUCGUAAAUUGGAAACACUUUUGCGCAUGUUGGAUAAUAUGUCAGUUGAAGUACAUACAAUAAAGCGGAUAAAAGAUGAUGUAGAGUAUUACAUUGAGUCUUCACAAGAACCAGACUUUGAAGAAAAUGAGUAUAUCUAUGACGAUAUUAUCGGUCUUGAUGAAGUCGAGCUUUCAGGAGUUGGAAUUCCAUCCUCAGCAACGACUGACAGUAACAACAGUAAUGAAACUGGAGGUACACCCACGUCUACCAAUUCAGGAACAUCUCCGAUACCAUCACCACCAUUGAGUUCUACCAUGCACAAUCAUUCAAGUGAUAGUUCAACUGACAAUGAUAAAAAACCUAAGCCUGUUAAACCUACUGCAGUAAGACCGCUACUGAGCUCGUCACAAACGAGCAUUCCAACGACGGGAAGCACUGCCAGCAUUAAAUCAACUUUACUAUCGAGCAGCACUCCAAGCAAAACCAUUCCCAUGACACCUAGCCAUAGCUCGCCUAAUUCUAAUAGUAAUCAUGUUGUUACAAGUAAUGCCGGAAAUUUUGCCACAGUAGCUGCCUCACACACCAAUUCUCAAACUGUUCACUCUACCUCUAAAAUAUCAUCUCAAAACAACGAGAAUGGCCUUUUAUCGUCACCAAUGUCUAACAUUACAUCUCCAAUAUCACAAUCUAUGAAUCAACAACUUCAGCAACAACCUCAGCAACUAACAACUCCAUCUCAACAACUUCAACAAUCUCCACCAACUCCCACAUCUCAACAUCAACCUCAAACUCAAAUGACACUUCAACAGCAACAAAUUGCUCAACAACAGCAGCAAUCUCAAAUUCAGGUUGUUUCACAGCAGUCGCAGCAUAAUAAUCCAGCAACCGUAUCCGCAACAGCUUCAAAUAUGCAAUCAAGCCAUAUGAUGCAUAAUCAAUCAAGUCAAAAUCAUAAUAAUAAUGCAGAAAUGAUCACUCCAAUUCCUCCAUCAGCGUCGCCUCAUUCAUCUGUCAGCAGUAGAUCAUCACCAGUACAAGUGAAUGCGUGCUCCCCAGUUCCUUCCACUGCCAACGGUCUUAUUUCUAAACUUCCCGAUGGCAUGUCUACUUUAAAAUCUAUUGCCCAGCAAGUAAUUGUUCGAGCAGGUUUGGAAAUACCCCCUGGUGAACCAAGCCGAAAUAUCUUUGACAAUUCAAAACCCAAUACUGUGACGUCUGAGGCGCACAUUCCGCCCUUGCUUGGAGUCGCACCACUGGGUCCUGUUCCUUUACAAAAAGAACAUCAACUGCAGUUCCAAAUGAUGGAAGCUGCCUAUUAUCAUAUGCCACAUCCAUCUGAUUCUGAACGUCUUCGAUCUUAUCUACCCAGAAAUUUAUGUCAGACGCCACCUUAUUAUCAACAAGUACAGCUGCCACACUCUGAUACUGUAGAAUUCUUUCAACGACUAUCGACGGAGACGCUUUUCUUUAUUUUUUAUUACAUGGAGGGUUCCAAGGGCCAGUACUUGGCAGCCAAAGCACUCAAGAAACAAAGUUGGAGGUUUCAUACGAAGUAUAUGAUGUGGUUCCAGAGGCAUGAAGAACCAAAAGUGAUAAAUGAAGAAUAUGAACAGGGAACGUAUAUUUACUUUGACUAUGAAAAAUGGGGACAAAGAAAAAAAGAAGGCUUUACUUUCGAGUAUAAGUACUUAGAAGACAGAGAUCUUAAUUAAAAUCAUGAAUUUUUCACGUUUGCAGAGGAUCUACAAAAAAUGCACUAUUUCUGUACCGGUAUUAUGAGACAAAAAAUGCAAAACAGCUUAUAUAUAUCAUUAAAUAUUUCUUUAUUUAUUGGCAAGACUUUUUAAAAUACUUUGAAUAUUUUUCAUGUGCAUAACUGUUGAUCCAUUUUUUAUGUAUUGAAGGAAAAUUUUUUUUUUGUUUAUUACUCAAAAAAAAUUGACCGUGAAUAAGGACCGUAAUCAUGAUUUAGUUGAUGAUAAUUAAGAUAAAAGAUGAUGAUGAAAUUAAGUCCACUCAAUGAAGGACGGUAAAUUGUAAACUAUGAGUAAUGUGUGAGAAAUACUGAGGAAAACACUUAUAGCGCAUAGUGUGCGGUGUGUGAUAAUGCUCGCUGGCGACUGACUCUGUAAUACCAGUACAAACAUGCGGUGCAACAUCCACCAGUUGCUUAAAAAAAUAUUUAAAAAUCGACGAGGUGGUGGGGCACUCUCAUGCUAUGGUAUGUCUUAAUGAUAGAUAAUAAGUAGCCUUUUUGUAUAAAGUAUAUUGAGGUAUUAAAUCCUUGAAUUUGAAUUACUGUACAGAAUGUGUAGACAUAGUGAAUUAUAAUAUUACGGAAUAUAUUUUAUUUCCCAUUCAAAAUGAA
rnacentral:misc_RNA from 1 species